rfam:Toxocara canis scaffold755, whole genome shotgun sequence.
GCGGCAGUAGUUCAGUGGUAGAGACCCGCUUCGCAUGCGGGGAGACCUGGGUUCGAUUCCCGGCUACUUCC